rnacentral:rRNA from 1 species
CGAAAAACCUUACCUACCCUUGACAUGCCAGGAACGCUGCUGAGAGGCGGCGGUGCCCGAAAGGGAGCCUGGACACAGGUGCUGCAUGGCUGUCGUCAGCUCGUGUCGUGAGAUGUUGGGUUAAGUCCCGCAACGAGCGCAACCCUUGCCGAUAGUUGCCACGAAAGGGCACUCUAUCGGGACUGCCGGUGACAAACCGGAGGAAGGUGGGGAUGACGUCAAGUCCUCAUGGCCCUUAUGGGUAGGGCUUCACACGUCAUACAAUGGUCGGUACAGAGGGCUGCCAAGGCGCGAGCUGGAGCAAAUCUCACAAAGCCGAUCGUAGUCCGGAUUGCAGUCUGCAACUCGACUGCAUGAAGUCGGAAUCGCUAGUAAUCGCGGAUCAGCAUGUCGCGGUGAAUACGUUCCCGGGCCUUGUAC